CCCAGACUCCUACGGGAGGCAGCAGUGAGGAAUAUUGGUCAAUGGGCGAGAGCCUGAACCAGCCAAGUCGCGUGAGGGAAGACGGUCCUAUGGAUUGUAAACCUCUUUUGCCGGGGAGCAAAAAGCGGUACGUGUACCGCAUCGAGAGUACCCGGAGAAAAAGCAUCGGCUAACUCCGUGCCAGCAGCCGCGGUAAUACGGAGGAUGCGAGCGUUAUCCGGAUUUAUUAGGUUUAAAGGGGGCGUAGGCGGAAGGCCCAGGACGGUGUUAAACGCGGGGGCCUCACCCUCUUCCCGCCGUUGAAACUGCGUUUCUUGAGUGGGCGAGAAGUACGCGGAAUGCGUGGUGUAGCGGUGAAAUGCAUAGAUAUCACGCAGAACUCCGAUUGCGAAGGCAGCAUACCGGCGCCCAACUGACGCUGAAGCACGAAAGCGUGGGUAUCGAACAGGAUUAGGUACCCCUGUA
rnacentral:rRNA from 1 species